rnacentral:rRNA from 1 species
CCUACGGGAGGCAGCAGUGGGGAAUUUUGGACAAUGGACGCAAGUCUGAUCCAGCCAUGCCGCGUGCGGGAAGAAGGCCUUCGGGUUGUAAACCGCUUUUGUCAGGGAAGAAAUCUUCUGAAUUAAUACUUCGGGAGGAUGACGGUACCUGAAGAAUAAGCACCGGCUAACUACGUGCCAGCAGCCGCGGUAAUACGUAGGGUGCAAGCGUUAAUCGGAAUUACUGGGCGUAAAGCGUGCGCAGGCGGUUAUGCAAGACAGGUGUGAAAUCCCCGAGCUCAACUUGGGAACUGCACUUGUGACUGCAUAGCUAGAGUACGGUAGAGGGGAGUGGAAUUCCGCGUGUAGCAGUGAAAUGCGUAGAUAUGCGGAGGAACACCGAUGGCGAAGGCAGCUCCCUGGACCUGUACUGACGCUCAUGCACGAAAGCGUGGGGAGCAAACAGGAUUAGAUACCCUGGUAGUCCACGCCCUAAACGAUGUCAACUGGUUNUUGGGAGGGUUUCUUCGGUCAGUAACGUAGCUAACGCGUGAAGUUGACCGCCUGGGGAAGUAGGCCGCAAGGUUGAUUACCUUAAAGGAGUUAUUAGCCGNGNGAGAGCGACGAGACGACGAGGAGGAGGAG